rnacentral:tRNA from 2 species
GCGAGGGUGGCGAAACUGGCAGACGCGCCAGACUUAGGAUCUGGUGGUUAACACCGUGCGGGUUCAAGUCCCGCCCUUCGCA